CGAAAAGUUAUGUAAGGGCGUAUGGGGGAUGCCUAGGCUCUCAGAGGCGAAGAAGGACGUGAUAAGCUGCGAAAAGUUGCGUGGAUUGGCACAUACGAAUUGAUACGCAAAUCUCCGAAUGGGGCAACCCAGUACAUUGAAGAUGUACUACACUGUAAAGUGAGCGAACCCGCUGAACUGAAACAUCUUAGUAGGCGGAGGAGAAGAAAACAAAAGUGAUUCCCAGAGUAGUGGCGAGCGAAAUGGGAUUAGCCCAAACCCACUUUGUUACGGCAUAGUGGGGGUUGUAGGACCCAGAUAUAGGUUGUACUUAAGAAUUAGAAGUGUUUGGAAAGGCACACCAAAGAGAGUGAUAGUCUCGUAUAGGUAAUUGAGUAUAAAUCUUAUGGGUAUCCUGAGUAGGUCGGGGCACGUGGAACCUUGACUGAAUUUGCCGGGACCAUCCGGUAAGGCUAAAUACUCCUGAGAGACCGAUAGUGAACCAGUACCGUGAGGGAAAGGUGAAAAGAACCGUGAAUAACGGAGUGAAAUAGACCCUGAAACCAUACGCCUACAAGCGGUCGGAGCAGCCUUAGGCUGUGACGGCGUGCCUUUUGCAUAAUGAGCCUACGAGUUACUGUUACCAGCGAGGAUAAGUAUUUCAGAUAUGAAUCCGUAGCGAAAGCGAGUCUGAAUAGGGCGAGUAAUAGUUGGUAGUAGUAGACGCGAAACCUGGUGAUCUACCCUUGGGCAGGUUGAAGCGCUGGUAACACAGCGUGGAGGACCGAACUGGUUGUCGUUGAAAAGACUUCGGAUGACCUGAGGGUAGGGGUGAAAGGCCAAUCAAACUGGGAAAUAGCUCGUACUCCCCGAAAUGCAUUUAGGUGCAGCGUUGGUGUGAGUUUAAUAGAGGUAGAGCUACUGAUUGGAUGCGGGGGUUUCAUCGCCUACCAAUUCCUGACAAACUCCGAAUGCUAUUAAAUGCUCAUCAGCAGUGAGGGUAUGGGUGCUAAGGUCCAUAUCCGAGAGGGAAAGAACCCGGACCAUCAGCUAAGGUCCCCAAAUAUAUGCUAAGUUGAAGAUAAAACGCGGUCUGACUGCACUGACAGCUAGGAUGUUGGCUUGGAAGCAGCCAUACAUUUAAAGAGUGCGUAACAGCUCACUAGUCGAGCGGUUGGGCAUGGAUAAUAAACGGGCAUAAGCAUAUUACCGAAGCUAUGGGGUUAUUACGGAUGUAAUAUACCGGUAGGGGAGCAUUCUAUGAGCGUUGAAGCUAAAGGCGUGAGCCAUAGUGGAGCUUAAUAGAAAAGAAAAUGUAGGCAUAAGUAACGAUAAGGCAGGCGAGAAACCUGCCCGCCGAAAGAUCAAGGUUUCCUCAGCUAUGCUAAUCAGCUGAGGGUUAGUCGGGGACUAACGCGCACCCGAGCAGGGGAAGUGGAUGUACAACGGGUUAAUAUUCCCGUACCAUUAGUCUAUUAAAAGCGACGGAAUGAGGUAUCUACCGCGCACUUACGGAAUAGUGCGUUGAAGGUGUUGUUAUGGCACUGAUAGUACACUAAGGCUUCGGCUGCGGUGAUAGUGUAGAGAUAACGUUUCCAAGAAAAGCGAAGACUAAUGCCCGUACCGUAAACCGACACAGGUGAUUGGGAAGAGAAUUCUAAGGCGCUCGAGAGAUUCAUGGCUAAGGAACUAGGCAAAAUAGACCUGUAACUUCGGGAGAAAGGUCGCCUAUCUACGGAUAGGCCGCAGUGAAAAGGUCCAAGCGACUGUUUAACAAAAACACAGGACUCUGCAAAAUUGAAAGAUGAUGUAUAGGGUCUGACACCUGCCCGGUGCUGGAAGGUUAAGAGGAGAGCUUAGUGGUAACACGAAGGUUUGAAUUGAAGCCCCAGUAAACGGCGGCCGUAACUAUAACGGUCCUAAGGUAGCGAAAUUCCUUGUCGGGUAAGUUCCGACCUGCACGAAUGGUGUAACGAUUUGGACACUGUCUCGGCCAUGAGCUCGGUGAAAUUGUAGUAUCGGUGAAGAUGCCGAUUACCCGCAGUGGGACGAAAAGACCCUGUGCACCUUUACUAUAUCUUCGUAUUGGUCUUGGAUAAGUGAUGCGUAGGAUAGGUGGGAGACUAUGAAGCGGCUAUUCUGGUAGUUGUGGAGUCGUUGUUGAAAUACCACCCUUUGCUUAUCUGAGGUCUAACCCUGCGAUGCAGGGGACAAUUCGUGGAGGGUAGUUUGACUGGGGUGGUCGCCUCCAAAAGAGUAACGGAGGCUUCUAAAGGUUUCCUCAGCACGCUUGGUAACCGUGCGUAGAGUGCAAUGGCAUAAGGGAGCUUGACUGAGAGACCUACAAGUCGAUCAGGUACGAAAGUAGAGCAUAGUGAUCCGGUGGUUCCGUAUGGAAGGGCCAUCGCUCAAAGGAUAAAAGGUACGCCGGGGAUAACAGGCUGAUCUCCCCCAAGAGCUCACAUCGACGGGGGGGUUUGGCACCUCGAUGUCGGCUCGUCACAUCCUGGGGCUGGAGAAGGUCCCAAGGGUUGGGCUGUUCGCCCAUUAAAGUGGCACGCGAGCUGGGUUCAGAACGUCGUGAGACAGUUCGGUCUCUAUCUACUGUGGGCGUUAGAAAUUUGCGUGGAUCUGACUCUAGUACGAGAGGACCGAGUUGGACGCACCUCUGGUGUAUCUGUUGUCUUGCCAAGGGCACAGCAGAGUAGCUAAGUGCGGAUGGGAUAAGUGCUGAAAGCAUAUAAGUACGAAACCCGCCACAAGAUGAGAUUUCUUUAAAGGGUCGUGGGAGAUGACCACGUUGAUAGGUUACAGGUGUAACGGUGGUAACAUCAUAGCCGAGUAAUACUAAUAACCCGUAGACUUUUCGCG
rnacentral:rRNA from 1 species